UUGGGAGGGAGUGUUUGGUUCAGGCUGAUGGUUAUGUUGGGAGGUUGUGUUAGGGGUGGGAUGUUGG